rnacentral:lncRNA from 1 species
CCCACUUUUCUUUGUGUGUGUGCGUGCCACGUGUGCAUGCCUGACCUCACGAGCAUCUCCGGCUCUCUAUGGGAGGAAAACGGUUUCCACACUGGGGUGGUAAACAAUUCCCUGCUGAGUGAUAAACAAACCUCGAGGCUAGACGGACCUCUGGGAGUUGCAGCUGCCACAGUUAAAAGAAGAAGCCUAAACUCUUAGAGAGAUGAAGAACCUUUAAAGGAGGUGGAGAGCAAAGCCUUGAAGUUUUUCCCCAGUUUCACCAUUUGUACUAAAGAUGGCUGAAAAGAAGUCACUAAGAGAGAAAGAUAGCUACAGGCGACAGAACAUGGGGAAGAGCUAUUCAAAGCAAUGAUCUUCAAACACCUUUUCUCAGAAAGAAAUAACAAAGCCCUAAGUCAAAUAUUAUUUCAAUGGCAACCACCAUGGUUUCUGCUAUUGUAAUAGUAUUUUCUCAUAUUUCUGUGCUGCUUUGACGUUUACAAAGCUCUUUCCCAUAGGUUAUCUCAUUUGCUGAUCACAAUCUGGCCCCAAACUGCCUUUGCAGGCUUCCCCUCAACACACCCUCUGCCUCGCUCAGGGUCUCUGAUCAGACCCCACACACU